UAGAGUUUGAUCCUGGCGCAGGAUGACCGCUGGCGGCGUGCUUAACACAUGCAAGUCGAACGAAACACCUUAUUUGAUUUUCUUCGGAACUGAAGAUUUGGUGAUUGAGUGGCGGACGGGUGAGUAACGCGUGGGUAACCUGCCCUGUACAGGGGGAUAACAGUCAGAAAUGACUGCUAAUACCGCAUAAGACCACAGCACCGCAUGGUGCAGGGGUAAAAACUCCGGUGGUACAGGAUGGACCCGCGUCUGAUUAGCUGGUUGGUGAGGUAACGGCUCACCAAGGCGACGAUCAGUAGCCGGCUUGAGAGAGUGAACGGCCACAUUGGGACUGAGACGCGGCCCAAACCCCUACGGGAGGCAGCAGUGGGGAAUAUUGCACAAUGGGGGAAACCCUGAUGCAGCGACGCCGCGUGAGUGAAGAAGUAUCUCGGUAUGUAAAGCUCUAUCAGCAGGGAAGAAAAUGACGGUACCUGACUAAGAAGCCCCGGCUAACUACGUGCCAGCAGCCGCGGUAAUACGUAGGGGGCAAGCGUUAUCCGGAAUUACUGGGUGUAAAGGGUGCGUAGGUGGUAUGGCAAGUCAGAAGUGAAAACCCAGGGCUAAACUCUGGGACUGCUUUUGAAACUGUCAGACUGGAGUGCAGGAGAGGUAAGCGGAAUUCCUAGUGUAGCGGUGAAAUGCGUAGAUAUUAGGAGGAACAUCAGUGGCGAAGGCGGCUUACUGGACUGAAACUGACACUGAGGCACGAAAGCGUGGGGAGCAAACAGGAUUAGAUACCCUGGUAGUCCACGCCGUAAA
rnacentral:rRNA from 1 species